AGAAUCAACGCUGGCGGCGUGCCUAACACAUGCAAGUCGAACGAGAAAGUGGGAGCAAUCCCAUGAGUAAAGUGGCGCACGGGUGAGUAACACGUGACUAACCUACCCUUGAGUGGGGGAUAACCUAGAGAAAUCUGGGCUAAUACCGCAUAAUACCUUCGGGUCAAGGGAGCAAUUCGCUUAAGGAGGGGGUCGCGGCCGAUUAGUUAGUUGGCGGGGUAAUGGCCCACCAAGACUAUGAUCGGUA
rnacentral:rRNA from 1 species